GCAGUAGCCGCGGUAACACGUAGGCGGCAAGCGUUGUCCGGAUUUAUUGGGCGUAAAGCGAGCGCAGGCGGUUCCUUAAGUCUGAUGUGAAAGCCCCCGGCUCAACCGGGGAGGGUCAUUGGAAACUGGGGAACUUGAGUGCAGAAGAGGAGAGUGGAAUUCCAUGUGUAGCGGUGAAACGCGUAGAUAUAUGGAGGAACACCAGUGGCGAAGGCGACUCUCUGGUCUGUAACUGACGCUGAGGCUCGAAAGCGUGGGUAGCAAACAGGAUUAGAUACCCCCGUAGUCCCUGUCUCUUAUAC
rnacentral:rRNA from 1 species